rnacentral:rRNA from 1 species
GAUGAACGCUAGCUACAGGCUUAACACAUGCAAGUCGAGGGGAAACGGCAUCGAAAGCUUGCUUUUGAUGGGCGUCGACCGGCGCACGGGUGAGUAACGCGUAUCCAACCUGCCCAUCACUUGGGAAUAACCUUGCGAAAGUAAGACUAAUGCCCAAUGACAUCCCACGAAGGCAUCCGAAUGGGAUUAAAGAUUUAUCGGUGAUGGAUGGGGAUGCGUCUGAUUAGCUUGUUGGCGGGGUGACGGCCCACCAAGGCAACGAUCAGUAGGGGUUCUGAGAGGAAGGUCCCCCACAUUGGAACUGAGACACGGUCCAAACUCCUACGGGAGGAAGCAGUGAGGAAUAUUGGUCAAUGGGCGAGAGCCUGAACCAGCCAAGUAGCGUGCAGGAUGACGGCCCUAUGGGUUGUAAACUGCUUUUAUAAGGGAAUAAAGUGGGUCACGUGUGACUUUUUGCAUGUACCUUAUGAAUAAGGACCGGCUAAUUCCGUG